rnacentral:tRNA from 1 species
UCCCUGGCAGUCCAGUGGUUAAGACUUCUCCUUCCAAUGCAGGGGGUGCAGGUUCGAUUCCUGGUCAGGGAA